ACGGGAAGGCAGCAGUGGGGAAUAUUGCACAAUGGGCGCAAGCCUGAUGCAGCCAUGCCGCGUGUAUGAAGAAGGCCUUCGGGUUGUAAAGUACUUUCAGUCGUGAGGAAGGUGUUAAGGUUAAUAACCUUAGCAAUUGACGUUAGCGACAGAAGAAGCACCGGCUAACUCCGUGCCAGCAGCCGCGGUAAUACGGAGGGUGCGAGCGUUAAUCGGAAUUACUGGGCGUAAAGGGCACGCAGGCGGUUAAUUAAGUUGGAUGUGAAAUCCCCGGGCUUAACCUGGGAAUGGCAUUCAAGACUGGUUAGCUAGAGUCUUGUAGAGGGGGUAGAAUUCCAUGUGUAGCGGUGAAAUGCGUAGAGAUGUGGAGGAAUACCGGUGGGCGAAGGCGGCCCCUGGGACAAAGACUGACGCUCAUGUGCGAAAGCGUGGGGAGCAAACAGGGAUUAGAUACC
rnacentral:rRNA from 1 species